rnacentral:lncRNA from 1 species
UCACGCCCAAUGGGAGAGUUAAGCCUCCGGAGAUGUGAAAGUGUAGAAGCAUAGGUCAGGCGAUUGAGCACCUGAGAAACCCCUGCUCUGGUUCCAGCUUGGUUAGCCUGUCCCCAGUUUCCAGUAGCAAGGGAGUACUUCAAACCACUGGUAAUAGUUUUUGCUUUUAUAGCAAAUUGCAAAUUAACUUCCUUUCCAUUAUCUACACACUAGGAUCAAGGAAAAGGAAGAGUUAAUAACCACAAGGAUCGAAUGGGUGGGGAAAAUAGAAAAUUUCACAGUUUAGACAGCAGAAAACCUUUUGCACAUAAGAUCUCACGUCCCUUGUUAACUUCCUGAAAAGCUAUAGUUGCAGAAGAAGAAAAAUCAGGCAAUUAAUCCAGUAAAAAAAGGGUUGACAACAUUUAAUAUUCUUGUAUAUUUAGGCAAACCAUUC